rnacentral:rRNA from 1 species
UACGGGGGAGCAAGCGUUGUUCGGAUUUACUGGGCGUAAAGGGCGCGUAGGCGGCCACUGCAAGUCAGUUGUGAAAUCUCCGGGCUUAACCCGGAAAGGUCAACUGAUACUGCAGGGCUAGAGUGCAGAAGGGGCAACUGGAAUUCUCGGUGUAGCGGUGAAAUGCGUAGAUAUCGAGAGGAACACCUGCGGCGAAGGCGGGUUGCUGGGCUGACACUGACGCUGAUGUGGCGAAAGCUAGGGGAGCGAACGGG